AUGAAUUGUAUUAUAUAUAACAAAAAUGAAAAUAACAAAUGGGAAUGUACUAGUGUUAAUAUACCAACAGAAGAAUUGCCCACUUGUGUAUGUUGGCACCCAUGUUGCAAUUCAUUUGCUAUAGGAUUUUCAUCAGGCGUUAUAUUUAUAUGUUCGAGAAAGGAAAAACAAAAAUGGAGUAUCAAAAAAGUAUUAAACCAUACAGGAAGUAUUUUAUUUUUAGAGUGGAGUUCUUCAGGGUGCGUAUUAUCUACCAACUCCAUAGACUCAACAUCAUUACUUGUGUGUACGUUGGGCUUAUUUGAUAAGGAAUCAGAUAUUAAGACGUUUCAAAAUAUAGAAAAAAUUAUCAUUGAAAACAAUUUUAAAAAUAAUGACAUAAUAAAUAAGAUUGAAUGUAAAGGGUAUAUUAUAUGCCACAGCACUUUUUCUUCCUCAAAUGAAAAAGUUGCAAUCAUUGCUAACAGCUUUGAAAAUAAUAGCAAAAAACAACAAAUAAUAAUUUCUGAGUUUUUCAAAUCCUCUCCUAAUACCCAAUUUGUUACGUGGAUUGGUCAAGCACUACAAAAGUGUUUGUUUAUAGAUGAACAAAAAUUAUUAGUUUAUGGUUAUGAAAUGUUUCCAAUAGUAGUGGAACAAAUAAAUGGCUACUGGGCUAUUACUAAAGUUGUGUUACCCGAAUUUAAUGUUAAAAAUUUAUGUGUCGAUUUUUUUUAUGAUAAAAAAAAUAUUCAAGAUAUAGAAGCAGAGUGCGAAAAUAUGGAUGGGAAUGAAAUCGUAUCUGAAAUCAUAGCUCACUCUAAUAACAUUUUACAAAUGUCUUUGUUAAAACCAUGUGAGUAUAAAAAAUGUGGUGAGUUUGUAACAGUGUCCAGUGAUUUUAACAUAGUUAUUUGGAGUUUUAUUACGUGAAUAUAUAAAAUAAAUAGCUAGUAAAAAAACGUAAAUAAAUAAAU
rnacentral:lncRNA from 1 species